rnacentral:rRNA from 1 species
CCUACGGGUGGCAGCAGUGGGGAAUAUUGCACAAUGGGGGAAACCCUGAUGCAGCGACGCCGCGUGAGUGAAGAAGUAUUUCGGUAUGUAAAGCUCUAUCAGCAGGGAAGAAAAUGACGGUACCUGAUUAAGAAGCCCCGGCUAACUACGUGCCAGCAGCCGCGGUAAUCCGUAGGGGGCAAGCGUUAUCCGGAUUUACUGGGUGGAAAGGGAGCGUUGACGGCAGCGCAAGUCUGAAGUGAAAUGUCUGGGCUUAACCCCGGAACUGCUUUGGAAACUGGGGAGCUAGAGUGCAGGAGAGGUAAGUGGAAUUCCUAGUGUAGCGGUGAAAUGCGUAGAUAUUAGGAGGAACACCAGUGGCGAAGGCGGCUUACUGGACUGUAACUGACGUUGAGGCUCGAAAGCGUGGGGAGCAAACAGGAUUAGAUACCCCUGUAGUC